GCGCAGCAGUCGAGAAUUUUUGACAAUGGGGGAAACCCUGAUCGAGCGACGCCGCGUGGAGGAUGAAGGUCUUCGGAUUGUAAACUCCUGUCAUUGGGGAACAAGGUGCAUACGUUAACUGCGUGUGUAUUGAUAGUACCCGAAGAGGAAGGGACGGCUAACUCUGUGCCAGCAGCCGCGGUAAUACAGAGGUCCCAAGCGUUGUUCGGAUUCAUUGGGCGUAAAAGGUGCGUAGGCGGCGCGGUAAGUCGGGUGUGAAAUCUCGGAGCUUAACUCCGAAACUGCAUUCGAUACUGCCGUGCUUGAGGACUGGAGAGGAGACUGGAAUUUACGGUGUAGCGGUGAAAUGCGUAGAUAUCGUAAGGAAGACCAGUGGCGAAGGCGGGUCUCUGGACAGUUCCUGACGCUGAGGCACGAAGGCCAGGGGAGCAAACGGGAUUAGAUACCCCGGUAGU
rnacentral:rRNA from 1 species